AGUCCUAUGGUGUAGUGGUUUGAGCGCUGGGCUGAGACUCUGGAGGCCAGAAUUCAAAUCUCUGCUUGACCA